rnacentral:rRNA from 2 species
CGGUAGAGAUUCUUCGGAAUCUUGAGAGCGGCGUACGGGUGCGGAACACGUGUGCAACCUACCUUUAUCAGGGGGAUAGCCUUUCGAAAGGAAGAUUAAUACCCCAUAAUAUAUUGAAUGGCAUCAUUUAAUAUUGAAAACUCCGGUGGAUAGAGAUGGGCACGCGCAAGAUUAGAUAGUUGGUAGGGUAACGGCCUACCAAGUCAAUGAUCUUUAGGGGGCCUGAGAGGGUGAUCCCCCACACUGGUACUGAGACACGGACCAGACUCCUACGGGAGGCAGCAGUGAGGAAUAUUGGACAAUGGGUGAGAGCCUGAUCCAGCCAUCCCGCGUGAAGGACGACGGCCCUAUGGGUUGUAAACUUCUUUUGUAUAGGGAUAAACCUACUCUCGUGAGAGUAGCUGAAGGUACUAUACGAAUAAGCACCGGCUAACUCCGUGCCAGCAGCCGCGGUAAUACGGAGGGUGCAAGCGUUAUCCGGAUUUAUUGGGUU